AACGAACGCUGGCGGCAUGCCUAACACAUGCAAGUCGAACGAGAUCUUCGGGUCUAGUGGCGCACGGGUGCGUAACGCGUGGGAAUCUGCCCUUGGGUUCGGAAUAACUUCGGGAAACUGAAGCUAAUACCGGAUGAUGACGUAAGUCCAAAGAUUUAUCGCCCAAGGAUGAGCCCGCGUAGGAUUAGCUAGUUGGUGAGGUAAAGGCUCACCAAGGCGACGAUCCUUAGCUGGUCUGAGAGGAUGAUCAGCCACACUGGACUGAGACACGGCCCAGACUCCUACGGGAGGCAGCAGUGGGGAAUAUUGGACAAAUGGGCGGAAAGACCUGAUCCAGCAAUAGCCGCGUGAGUGAUGAAGGCC
rnacentral:rRNA from 1 species